UUUUAUUCCGUGGAUGCGGGCCACAACCAAAUCGAAAGAUUUCAAAAAACUAUGGCAUUGUUGAUGAAGAUAACCUUAAAACUUAGUUCAUUCUGACAGGUUUGUUUGUGAGCUUACUUUUUUCUCCAUUUCUUUAGUCUUCCGGGUGUGGGAUUUAAUGGUUACCCUUUCCUGCUUCUUUGUCAUGUAAAAUGUUAUGCACGACUGGUGUCUCUUGGCAAAAAAGAAGAAGCCGUUUGCGAGACAUCUGAGAUGCAAUCUGUAAUUUGUUCUCAGGGCCCCAUAUUGCCAGAGUUUCAGGAAAUGAUCAAGCUACUGAUUGUCAAUAAUCCUGUAAACAAAGAUGUAGCAAGCACUUGGAACUGGCAAUUUGGAAGUGGGGCAUGAACUAGAUGGGAAGUUGUGGCACUUGGAAUAAUGGAGGAACAUAAAGCUCCAGAAAUACUUUC